rnacentral:rRNA from 1 species
UCUGGAAACGGAUGGUAAUACCUCAUAACAUACAGAGACCGCAUGAUCUUUGUAUCAAAGAUUUAUCACUCUGAGAUGGGCUCGCGUCUGAUUAGAUAGUUGGUGAGGUAACGGCUCACCAAGUCGACGAUCAGUAGCCGGACUGAGAGGUUGAACGGCCACAUUGGGACUGAGACACGGCCCAGACUCCUACGGGAGGCAGCAGUGGGGAAUAUUGCACAAUGGGGGAAACCCUGAUGCAGCGAUGCCGCGUGGAGGAAGAAGGUUUUCGGAUUGUAAACUCCUGUCUUAAAAAGG